rnacentral:rRNA from 1 species
UUUGAUCCUGGCUCAGGAUGAACGCUGGCGGCGUGCUUAACACAUGCAAGUCGAACGAUGAAGCCCAGCUUGCUGGGUGGAUUAGUGGCGAACGGGUGAGUAACACGUGAGUAACCUGCCCUUGACUCUGGGAUAAGCCUGGGAAACUGGGUCUAAUACCGGAUAGGAACGUCCACCGCAUGGUGGGUGUUGGAAAGAUUUAUCGGUCAUGGAUGGACUCGCGGCCUAUCAGCUUGUUGGUGAGGUAAUGGCUCACCAAGGCGACGACGGGUAGCCGGCCUGAGAGGGUGACCGGCCACACUGGGACUGAGACACGGCCCAGACUCCUACGGGAGGCAGCAGUGGGGAAUAUUGCACAAUGGGCGAAAGCCUGAUGCAGCGACGCCGCGUGAGGGAUGACGGCCUUCGGGUUGUAAACCUCUUUCAGUAGGGAAGAAGCGAAAGUGACGGUACCUGCAGAAGAAGCACCGGCUAACUACGUGCCAGCAGCCGCGGUAAUACGUAGGGUGCGAGCGUUAUCCGGAAUUAUUGGGCGUAAAGAGCUCGUAGGCGGUUUGUCGCGUCUGUCGUGAAAGUCCGGGGCUUAACCCCGGAUCUGCGGUGGGUACGGGCAGACUAGAGUGCAGUAGGGGAGACUGGAAUUCCUGGUGUAGCGGUGGAAUGCGCAGAUAUCAGGAGGAACACCGAUGGCGAAGGCAGGUCUCUGGGCUGUAACUGACGCUGAGGAGCGAAAGCAUGGGGAGCGAACAGGAUUAGAUACCCUGGUAGUCCAUGCCGUAA